rnacentral:rRNA from 1 species
UACGGGGGGGGCAAGCGUUGUUCGGAAUUACUGAGCGUAAAGGGCUCGUAGGUGGCCAACUAAGUCAGACGUGAAAUCCCUCGGCUUAACCGGGGAACUGCGUCUGAUACUGGAUGGCUUGAGUUCGGGAGAGGGAUGCGGAAUUCCAGGUGUAGCGGUGAAAUGCGUAGAUAUCUGGAGGAACACCGGUGGCGAAGGCGGCAUCCUGGACCGACACUGACACUGAGGAGCGAAAGCCAGGGGAGCAAACGGG